UACGUAGGAGACGAGCGUUGUCCGGAGUUACUGGGCGUAAAGGGUGCGCAGGUGGCCGCGCGCGUGGGGAGUGAAAUCGCCUGCUUAACUGGGCGGGGGCUUUCCAGACGGCGUGGCUUGAGCCACAGAGGGGGGCGUGGAAUUCCGGGUGGAGCGGUGAAAAUGCGUAGAGAUCCGGAGGAACACCGACGGCGCAGGCAGCGCCCCUGGGCUGUGAUAGCUGACACUGAGGCACGAAAAGCUGGGGGGGAGCAAAACAGGG
rnacentral:rRNA from 1 species